UGGGGAAUAUUGGACAAUGGGCGGAAGCCUGAUCCAGCAACGCCGCGUGAGGGAUGACGGCCUUCGGGUUGUAAACCUCUUUCAGCACCGACGAAGCUCCACUUUUUGGUGGUUUGACGGUAGGUGCAGAAGAAGGACCGGCCAACUACGUGCCAGCAGCCGCGGUAAUACGUAGGGUCCGAGCGUUGUCCGGAAUUAUUGGGCGUAAAGGGCUCGUAGGCGGUUUGUCGCGUCGGGAGUGAAAACAUCUGGCUUAACUGGGUGCUUGCUUUCGAUACGGGCAGACUGGAGGUAUGCAGGGGAGAACGGAAUUCCUGGUGUAGCGGUGAAAUGCGCAGAUAUCAGGAGGAACACCGGUGGCGAAGGCGGUUCUCUGGGCAUGACCUGACGCUGAGGAGCGAAAGUGUGGGGAGCGAACA
rnacentral:rRNA from 1 species